AGCCCCUUUUCUUCUGCUUCACCGGUCUGCUGGUUGGCUUCACCUGGAGUCGAUGGACCAUGACCUCAGGGUCAAUUCCCGGUACGUCCGCGGGCGACCAGGCGAAAACGUCAGCAUUGUCCCGCAGGAAGUUGACGAGGCGAUCCCUCUCGCGGGCGCCAAGGCCGGAGCCGACCUGCACAGUUAGCUCGGAAAAAUUUUCUUGUAGUGGAACUUGAACAAGAAGCUCACCGGGCUCUACUUGCUUCUUCCAGAGGGUGUCCCUCGCAUCGAGGGUUUCUAUGGGUAGUGAGGGGCCCGUUGGCUGGA
rnacentral:lncRNA from 1 species